rnacentral:rRNA from 1 species
GUACGAGAGGAACGGGACGUUGUGGCCUAUGGUUAACCGGUUGUCCGACAGGGCAUACGCCGGGCAGCUAAGCCGCCAAGGAUAAGAGCUGAAAGCAUCUAAGUUCGAAGCCUUUCCUAAAAAUAGGC